AGCGCUUCCUUCGCGGCUCCAGGGACGCAGUGCCCUGCAGGCAUCGCCUGCUUGCAGCCGACUUGAGGGGCUCACGGAGUCCCCUGUGCCCGGGACGCGGCUAGAUCCUGGGGAAAACCCCUCCACCCAGCCCCAUCUGGCAGAUAGACUCCAGAUUAGCAACCCCGGAGUCACGUAAGGAACCUACCCUUGGAGAGGUGAAGGAGUGAAUUAGUCCAGCUUGCCCGGUGCACACCUAGCUGCAGAGAGACCCCGCUCAGAAGCCGUGCGGGAUAGGGGCCCCACAGGCAGCAACCCAGACUACUACGGACUCAUCUAACAAAACAGCACCGACUCCAGCAUCCAAUGUCACCAUCAUGGCUACAGAUACAGCCCAGCAGAGCACAGUCCCCACUUCCAAGGCCAACGAAAUCUUGGCCUCGGUCAAGGCGACCACCCUUGGUGUAUCCAGUGACUCACCGGGGACUACAACCCUGGCUCAGCAAGUCUCAGGCCCAGUCAACACUACCGUGGCUAGAAGAGGUGGCUCA
rnacentral:sRNA from 1 species